GAUGAAGAACGCAGCGAAAUGCGAUAAGUAAUGCGAAUUGCAGAAUUUCCGUGAGUCAUCGAAUCUUUGAACGCACAUUGCGCCCGCCAGUAUUCUGGCGGGCAUGCCUGUUCGAGCGUCAUUUCAACCAUCAAGCCCCCGGCUUGUGUUGGGGACCUGCGGCUGCCGCAGGCCCUGAAAAGCAGUGGCGGGCUCGCUGUCACACCGAGCGUAGUAGCAUACAUCUCGCUCUGGGCGUGCUGCGGGUUCCGGCCGUUAAACCACCUUCAUAACCCAAGGUUGACCUCGGAUCAGGUAGGAAGACCCGCUGAACUUAAGCAUAUCAAUAAGCGGAGGA
rnacentral:misc_RNA from 1 species